UUCCGGUUGAUCCCGCCGGACCUGACUGCUAUCGGAUUGAUACUAAGCCAUGCAUUUUGAAGCAUACAAGGCAGACGGCUCAGUAACACGUAGUCAAUCUACCCUAUGGACGGGGAUAACCUCGGGAAACUGAGAAUAAUACCCGAUAGAUCCAUUAUACCUGGAAUGGUUUAUGGUUCAAAUGAUUUUUCGCCAUAGGAUGGGACUGCGGUCUAUCAGCUUGUUGGUGAGGUAAUGGCCCACCAAGGCUAUAACAGAUACGGGCUCUGAGAGGAGAAGCCCGGAGAUGGGUACUGAGACACGGACCCAGGUCCUAUGGGGCGCAGCAGGCGAGAAAGCUUUGCAAUGUGCGAAAGCACGACAAGGUUAAUCCGAGUGUCUUCUGCUAAAGAAAUCUUUUGUCAGUCCUAAAAACACUGACAAUAAGGGUGGGCAAGUUCUGGUGUCAGCGCGCGGUAAAAACAGACCU
rnacentral:rRNA from 1 species